GCGAGUGAAGCGGCAACAGCUCAAAUUUGAAAUCUGGCUUCGGCCCGAGUUGUAAUUUGUAGAGGUGGCUCUUGGUGCGGCACCUACUGAGUCCCCUGGAACGGGGCGCCAUAGAGGGUGAGAGCCCCGUAUAGUAGGAUGCCUAGCCUGUGUAAAGCCCCUUCGACGAGUCGAGUAGUUUGGGAAUGCUGCUCUAAAUGGGAGGUAAAUUUCUUCUAAAGCUAAAUAUUGGCCAGAGACCGAUAGCGCACAAGUAGAGUGAUCGAAAGAUGAAAAGCACUUUGAAAAGAGGGUUAAACAGCACGUGAAAUUGUUGAAAGGGAAGCGCUUGUGACCAGACUUGCGCCGGGCGGAUCAUCCGGUGUUCUCACCGGUGCACUCCGCCCGGCUCAGGCCAGCAUCGGUUCUCGUGGGGGGAUAAAGGCUCUGGGAACGUGGCUCCUCCGGGAGUGUUAUAGCCCAGGGUGCAAUGCCCUCGUGGGGACCGAGGUUCGCGCAUCUGCA
rnacentral:rRNA from 1 species